rnacentral:lncRNA from 10 species
GAGGAUUUACACCCUGGUUCUCAGGCCUUCAGGCUCUAACUGGAGCUACACUAUCAACUUUCCUGGGCCUCCAGAUUGCAGAUGGUGGAUCACGGUACUUUUUAGCCUCCAUCAUAAUAUGAGAAAAAAGAGGCACAGUGAAGCUAAAUAUAUUGGCUAAAGAUCACAAAGCUAAGUUGAAAUUUUUCAAGAUGAAAAGUUGCUAAAGAAAGAGAAAGGGAAGCGGUUUGCUCCAGUAUUCCUCUUUCCACCUUCCCACUGACUGGGAAGCGGCGGUUAGCAGAGCCACAGUCUUGGAUUAGAGAUAAGAGGGACAUGUUGAGGAAGGUG